GACGAACGCUGGCGGCGUGCCUAAUACAUGCCAGUAGAACGCACAGUUUAUACCGUAGCUUUCUACACCAUAGACUGUGAGUUGCGAACGGGUGAGUCACGCGUAGGUAACCUGCCUGGUAGCGGGGGAUAACUAUUGGAAACGAUAGCUAAUACCGCAUCAUAUUAAUUAUUGCAUGCUACUUCAUUGAAAGGUGCAAUUGCACCACUACCACAUGGACCUGCGUUGUAUUAGCUAGUAGGUGAGGUAACGGCUCACCUAGGCGACGAUACAUAUCCGACCGGAGAGGGUGAUAGGCCACACUGGGACUGAGACACGGGCCAGACUCAUACGGGAGGCAGCAGUAGGGAAUCCUCGGCAAUGGAGGAAAGUCUGACCGAGCACCGCAGCGUGAGGGGAGAAGGGUUUCGGAUCGUAAAGCUCUGUUGUAAGAGAAGAAAGGGGGUGAGAGUGGAAAGCUCACACUGUGACGGUAUCUUACCAGAAAGGGACGGCUAACGACGUG
rnacentral:rRNA from 1 species